CGUAUGACGCUUAACACCAUUUUUUUUUUUCUAAUCCAUAUUUACUCUUAAAAGGAUUUAAUGUAUAUAAUCUUUUAUAUGUAGAUGACAAAGUGGGUGUUAUUUCCGUGUUUACUGAAAACCGUCAAUAUUUACAAAGCAAUAGCUCUUAAACCACCAAUCCUAGAGGAAUAUUAUCAAUCAUGGCCAAGAACAUGGAAAAUUGGUAAUUGCCUUGUAUCACUUCUAACUAUAAGGCACAGGGAGUCUUGGGCAGAAAUGAUAAUAAUAUGGUUCUCAGAUAUGUUACUGUGUACAGACUGAACAAAAAAUAU